UUACCUAGAGUUUGUGGGCUUUGCCCACUGUCUCUUACCCAUGUCUUUUGAGUACUUACGUUUCCUCGGUGGGCUCGCCCGCCGGUUGGACAAUUUAAACCAUUUGCAGUUGCAAUCAGCGUCUGAAAAACAUAAUAGUUACAACUUUCAACAACGGAUCUCUUGGUUCUGGCAUCGAUGAAGAACGCAGCGAAAUGCGAUAAGUAGUGUGAAUUGCAGAAUUCAGUGAAUCAUCGAAUCUUUGAACGCACAUUGCGCCCCUUGGUAUUCCAUGGGGCAUGCCUGUUCGAGCGUCAUUUGUACCUUCAAGCUCUGCUUGGUGUUGGGUGUUUGUCUCGCCUUGCGCGUAGACUCGCCUUAAAACAAUUGGCAGCCGGCGUAUUGAUUUCGGAGCGCAGUACAUCUCGCGCUUUGCACUCAUAACGACGACGUCCAAAAGUACUUUUUACACUCUUGACCUCGGAUCAGGUAGGGAUACCCGCUGAACUUAAGCAUAUCAAUAAGCGGAGGACCUCCGCUUAUUGAUAUGCCUUGUUACGACUUUUACUUCCAUCCUCCGCUUAUUGAUAUGCCUUGUUACGACUUUUACUUCCAUCCUCCGCUUAUUGAUAUGCCUUG
rnacentral:rRNA from 1 species